CUCAGCAAUUCCUGGAUUCUACAGCAAAGGCCCAGGCUAAAUCGGAGGAUGACUAUUUGGUCAUGAUCAUUGUUCGUGGUGCAUCUUAAAGUCCUAAUGCUUUCUGUGCUUAUCCUGCUGCUUCAUACAACUCCCCCCUCCUCCAGUGUCUGCCAGGUGCUAAGCCUUAGCCAACACCCUAAGUAUAAUUUUUGAUCUGUAGUUACUCUUAUUUUCCCUUUAUUUUCUAUAAAUUCUAGAGAGCAGAUAUAUUAACUGUUCGCUAGGCUACCCUCAACUGUCUUGCUAGUGACAGUAUAGCAAGAAGGGAUGGCCUGCUUUCACUAAAAUAUGAAACAUUGAACAAGCUUGCCUCCCUCUUUUUUUUUUUUACUUUUUAACUUGUCCUUGUUCAUUUCACAACUUUAAAGUAGCUAUAAAAUCUUUUCCUAUACUUACAUUCUAAAUUGCCAUACUUAAAACAUUCAUGAUUCAUGCCCAUUCUGAGCCCCACAGCUUCCAUAAAACUAUAGUUAUGAUUUCAGAUUAAUUCCUAGUUUACAAAAUGUAAAAUUGAAUUGAAUUAACUCACGGUUGAGUCCCUGAUACUGCUGAUAUUAAGCCUUCAUGGUGCAUUGCAGUUUUCUUUCAGCUGGGUUUUCAGUUUUUGUUCCCAAAUUCAGAGAAAUGCAUACCCUUGAAAAAUGUCCCUAAAUGGUAUUUGCUUUUUUGAUUUUUUUAAAACUUGUGUGCAUUUAAGGGUUGUGGUUGUAAUGAGAGCUUUACUAUAACCCAUGAACAUCAUGAACUUCUGUAUUAAAGAAGCAGGUGGUUAAUGGUAUCAUUGUUUUUGCCCAUUACUAAUUGUAAUAGGCACAAUGAAUUCUAAAGUAUAACGGGAACGCAACUUUCAAAGAUGGCACUUAACUUUUGUGAAAAGUUCUGCCACAUAACCAUUUCAAUUAUCAUUCUAUCCCUGUGGAAAUAGAAAGGAAACUUACCUGCUCAAUAUUUUUCAGGUAAAAUAUAGGCAUUAUGCGAGGUUUUAUAGUCUGGUUUGCACUGUUUUAAUCUUUACACUUGCAUUCACCUUAUAUUUCUAAAUGUUGGGGAAGCAAUUCAGUUUACUAAAAGAACACAAUUUGAUUGAAAGUAAGCCUAUAAAAGCAGUCAUUUUUUAAAAUAUGUGCUAAGACUUAGGAGGAAAGAAUCAACAGUUUAAAUGUGUCACUUUUUGCUUGGUCUCUUCUCUAGUCCAAUGUUUUUGUUCCUUUGUAAAGCCGCUGUACAGUAACAAUGUUUCUCAUGUGUAAACCAAUUCUCAAGUUUGAAUAAGUACAAUUACGAUAGUUGAAAAAGUGGCCUAAUGAAACACUGCUCAGUGAAAUAUUGGGAAACAUACUAUUCUUAAAGUAUUUUUUUCAAGUAGAGCCUCACUUCUGAAACUAUUACACCCUUUCACUCUUUUAAGAAUGUGGGUACAGUAACCUAAAUCCCACAAUUCUGAAAUAUAAAUUGUUCUGUAAUAAAUGAAACUUGGAACUGUGAACCAAAUUAAAUCUAGCCACUGUUAUAGGCAGAGUCACUAAGACAGAUUUGUGUUGCCUGUACUGCAUAACAUUAUUGGAUUAUCCAUAUUACUGCAUUUGUCAAAUUCAAUAUGCUAGUGGCUACAUAAAGAGUUUUCUUAGUGUAUUUAUUUGGAGAGUGAAUUUGUUCUAUGUUGAACUAAUAUAUUAAUUUAAAAGCCAUCCUUGUAUUUUUGGGAAAAUCUUUAAUAUCAGAUUCGAAAGUCAAACUUGUUGGCACUAGUAUGCAUACUGAUGUGCUCUCCUUGUUAAAAAAAUCCUUUGGAACUUGAAUUUGAGGUAAAGUGAACAUAAUGGCAUUUUAGGCAACUUUUGGGAACCGGUGUUGGAAAACCCUACACCAUGGAUUUCUUUUUCUAUUUUAAUUGAAAAUUAUGUUCAAUGCUGCUUCUUAUGAUUUGAACUGGGUAAAGGAUAUGUGAAAUGGGCAAUUCAGUUUUCCAAACCUUUAUCUAAGAUUAUUUUUUAAGAAAGAAGAUAAUCCAGUAAUAGCUAUAGAAAGAAAAAGAAUGUUAGGAGUCCAAUUUAGACUAAAACGAUAACCAACAUUGGAUAGCUCAGCACUUAGUUAUAGCUGCUAUAGCUUUUUUUUUGUAUUAGGAUAACAGCAGUACAAUUAUUCAUUUGAGCCAACCUCCAAGACUUCAGCAUAGCAAAAGUUAAGUUUUGUGACACAUCUGUAUGCAGAAAAAAAGAAUUGUGAUCUUUUGUAUAUGGUAUUAUGAAGCUUUAGGGCAAUGUAUAUUUGAAUGAUGCACAUGUUCAGAAAUUUGUUUCUAGAGUUAUAACAUUAGGAUGAAGAAUGUUUUUUUUUCCUGAGAGUCACUUAAUACCACUUUUGGGGGAACUGGAAAGGAAAAUCUUAGUUGGCAUGUUGUCUUUAGGAUUUAAAUUCUAUAAUUAGAGACUUAAAAGUUUGCCCUCCCUUUUAAAGUUAACUAGGAGUUUUGCAUUUUGACAGUUCAUCAUACGUGGUUGGCUGUCAGUGGAGUAUCAAUUUAAGGCUACCUCAUUUACCAGGAUCCACUUUUGUGUUUAUACAAUUGCCUCCCAAUUUUAAUUGUCAAAAUUUAUUGGCAUUUUAAAAGCCAAUAUAUUUAGCAUGGAUCCUUUCUUCCCAAGAUAUAUAAGGGGGAAAGGAAGAAGCCUUCCUUAGGAAUUUAAACAAGUAGUAGGAGUUUGACUAUGUUUUAAGAGUAAAAGAAUGUAGGAAUACAUCUGAAUUGGAUAAAAAUGGAAAAGAUAAGGGUAGCCACAUAAGCAUACAAAAUAAUAAUCCAUGUAGGGUGCCUGAUUGAAUGGUUUGCAAAAUUGUAAAGUAAUUUGAUGUAUGUUCAUUUCCUUGCUUUCGGUUUUCCCCCUAUAGAGCAAACAAUAUUAGCUGCUCCAGAUGUGUCACUGAAGAUAAACAUGUCCCUUUACAUUAUCCAAACUAAAGUAUUUUGGAACAACUAGAAAAAUGCACACAGAUGUGGGAUGAAGAGAAUCUGAUGCAUAUUUUAGCUAGUUUUCUCCAGUAAGUAAAGAAUCUGUAGUUGGAGAUAACAUAGCAAUGUGAAAAAAUACACUUACAAACAGAACACUAAAUUUCUUGUUCUUGUUUGACUUUUUGAAAGUGAGAGAAAUUGUGUGAAUUGUGAAAAUUCAGUUGAUUUUUCUCCUGUAUGUUUUUUUAAACUAGUACAGCUUUUUUUCCCCAAUCUCUACCCUAUAUUUUAACUCCCUGAACUACUAUUUGUGCAUUUAUAUACAGAUGUUAAUUCAUUUCAAAAGCUUUGUGCCAGUGAAGGGUGAUUGGUGCUUUCAGACAUUACCUAGAACAUUAAUAGCCUUGUAGUUGGAACAGUUAUCUGUAAAUGCAGGGGGAAAACAGAUCUCUUGUAAACAUUUGUACUGAAUAACCUCUUCUUUCCUCCUGAAAGCAAGGCUAGUGAAGUGCUGAAGACCACAAGGGAUUCCAAACUCUAAUGGACCUUUGCGAAGAAAAGCGUUGGCUUAUGUGGAAUUUACAUGGGCCUCAUGGAAGAAAGCUUAUCUGUUUAGUAUUUGUGCAUUUUACUAAAAUGGCAGCUUAAAAAGUUGUGUAUCUGCUAUUUGUGAUGCCAAUGCCCAUGUUUUAAAGUGGAAAAUUGACCUCUUUGCUAUGUGCUGUGUACACAAGAUUUCUGCAAAAGUAAAGGAAAAAAACCUUUUUAUGGCUCACACAGCUUAAAAUAGCUGUCACUCAAAACAUGCGCUCACAGUCGAGCUGAUUUUGUUUCAUUCUAAAUAAAUUGUUUCUUUUGAGGAAAGUGGUUUUUCUGCCUGGAAAUGAAUUGACGACAAACCUUUGACCCCUUUGUUUGCAGCUGUGGGGGUACUUUACAACUGUUCCUGCUGCUCCUUCUCCUCGAUCUGAUAGUUGUGGGUCUCAGACAAGAAACAGGGAAACCUUCGCUUUGAUAUUGACCAUCUUUUGUAUCAGAUCUGAAGAAAUCUAGUUUGUUGUGUUGCUGUGUCCUCUUGUGUACGGUGAAUGGGGAUCAAUGGCUGCUAUCUCCUCAUCUUUACGAGGAAAUGGUGCUGUUGCUGGCAUGCAAGAAGCAGGGAAAGCAUCUUGAGUCUCAGAACAGUGUGCAGAUCUGGGACUUUGUUGAUUUUGAAGAGCUGGAGUUCCUGAAUUUUAAGUUCUUGAUUUAUUUUGUUCACCUAACUUGUUUGGCCUUAGUUCUGUUUUUAAUUUGAAGAAAGUUUGAAAUUGCUUUGCAUCUUGCUCAUAACCUUUUCACCAAAUUGAAAAGAAAAAGUAACUCAUAAAAAAAAUUAAAUGAUAGCGCGUUUCCAGACACAGUUGAAGAGCUCCUCCCCCACCAGGGGCUUUUCUUCAGAGUUAUGCAGUCCUGGGUGUAGUUCUGAAUGGAAGAAGAGUUCCUGAGAGCUAGAGCGCUGUCAUUUAAAACCUGUACGAUUGUUAUUGGUGCUCUUACUUGACCCGUUUUGAAGCAAAUGGUCUACACACCUUGGAUGUGCAUGCAACUUGAUCGUUUCAUAGGUACCGCUGCAAACUUUUUAGUUUGUAGUACAGAUGAUAUCAGGAGGAAAAAAAAAGUGGUGAAACUUUGAAAACAAAUGUGCUAUAUUUCCUGCAUUUGGGGAUCUUGAGCUUUGGAAAGCUGUUCCCACUGUGCAGGAGUACAACUCUUUGCUGCAGGAGACUUCGGGGCACAGUUGACUACACAUCACCAGAGGUCAAGAGGAAGCGAACAGUGCUGCACCUGCAUCGUGGCUGCAGAAACUGCAUUUGUUUCCCGAGUCUCUUAGAAUUAACUAGUUGCCAUUUGACAUGCAGAUGGAAGACACCUUGAAAUGCAAGCUUGCUUUGGUUGCCUUGAAAUGCUUAACCUAUUGUGGAUAAAGAACACUAGCGCGGUCCUAUAUCCAUGCAGGAUGAUUGCUAGGCAGCAGGUGCUUAUCAACCAAGGAUGCUACGAUUGUGUUCCACAAAAUAUGGGUUCCCAUGGCAAACUGCUGUAUAAAACUCUUAAACAGGAUUGGUCAGCCCCUCUGGACUGAUAAGAGGGACAUCUUUAUCUGAAAGGAUGAACAUUUCAGGCAAAUCCCUGGUGUUUUCCAAGUGCAUUAUUUACUAAGUUACUGUCCCCAGGAGCCUGCAUGAUAAUCUUGGUGUUAAGUCUUCAACAAGGCAAAUGGAAAUGCCCGCUGCUGGUACACUAAAAACCUCAACGUGCAGGAACUCCAGGCAACUUACAUGAAGAUAGCUCUUCAUUCUAUCCCACCAUGUUCCUAUGAGGUUCCAAGAAUAAUGAAAUGGAUGAAACAAGGAAACAUAUACCAGUCAAAAUGAAGGACCAUGCAUAUGUCUGGGUGUAAUCAUACAGCCAACCUGUAAGUAAGGAAUAACAGGGUUUGGUUAUUACAUCAUUCUCAUUUAGUGUAGCUGUCUUUUCAUAUCAUUACUAAUGCAACUCUUAAAAACCAUGUAGGUACCUCAACAAUACUGGCUUUGCAUCAUUUAAUCCAAGUGACAAUAAAGAUUGUGUUUUAUAUAUUAAUCCACCUUAAUUGGUUUAAAUUGCAGGAGCUGAUUUUGUAUUCCAAGGUAAAUAUAUUUCAUCCCUUUAAUAUUUCUUCAUGGCAUGUUUAUUAAAUAAUAAUCUGUUUCAGUUUUUCUUUAACCAGUCUGUUAAUUUUUCUGCUUGCUCAAUCUGUAUUUUAGGAUCUACUGAAUCCCACAUUUGAGUACAUUGUUCGACAGCAAAGAAGAGAUGGAGGCUUUUUACAGUAGUAUUGAGCUACGGAGUACUUGAAUGGUGCAGAAGAUACAGUCUUGUGUUCAGACUAAACAUUCUUAUACACCCACAUAUAAGGACAUUUUAGUUUUGGUGAAUUUUAUGUAAUGUAUAUAGAAUGAAUCUUGGUAAUACUCUUUAAUAUGAUGACUCACAGACUUUUAAGUAAUAACAAUUUUGAAAAUGGGUAAAACACAUCUUUUGAAAAAGUAUUUACAUUCAUAGAAGCAAUGUAUUCUUAUCCUAUCCCUAACAUUUAUAGAAUGAACUGAUCUCUUAUUUGGUGAGAUCUCACUGGUGUACACAUGGUUACUUGGGAAUAAAUCCCCAGGAUCCCAUAGCAAUUAUGUUGCGGAGGAUUUUCUUGCUCUGGCAAACUAUUAAAAUUUACCACCAGAGGGCUUGUUCCCACAUUAGAACAGUAUGGCUCAUAUUUAAAGGACUCUGGAGUAGAUCGUGUCUGAAAAUCUGCUUCUAUUGAUUCACACUUAGAUGGUACUUCUGUGUAUUACAUGUAUGAAUUGAAUUACUAGGGGAUCAUAAGAUCCUUGCCAGUCUAGUUCUCUUCAUUAAAAUAACAGCCAUAUAUGGCCAGUUUGAUGGUACUCAUGUUGGGGGCGCCUGUGGCAGCCUGAGUGCUCUACCAGUGAAAACGGACUCCUGAUUCUCCAUUUUCAGCUGUAAUGCCCUCCUGCAACACUGCCAGUGAAAACGGAGCUUGGGAGGGCCACAGAUACAUUUCUGGUGGUAGAGGCCCUACAGGUCGGUCCUUUGCUGUUUCCAGGGUGGCCCCGUAGGCCAGAUCCUGUGGGCCUUGAGUUUGACACCCCUGCCUUAAACUAUAUAUUUUUUUCUAAUUUAAAUCUGCAGCAGAUAACUUGCACUGAAUGAACUCAAAUGUUAGAAAUAUGAUAGAAUAUGCACAUUUACCAUUUACAUAUGAAAUUCUGACCCUAUUCUUUUUUUGAAGUCUCAAGUGCCUUAACAUGGUGUAUAUGGACAUGAUCAUAUUUCUGAUUAUUUUACUUACUCUUUUCUGUUUGUUUCAGGGCUAUGAAAUAGGUUUUGAAACAUAUCCUGAUUAUACCAAAUGAUGUUACCUACACAAUUAUUUAAAAACAGUACUUGCCAUUUUGUUUUUAGUUAUUUUCCUAAUAAAUCCAGUGUUCAUGUUUUACUUCCAGUGCGUAUUAUAAGGAAAUGUUUACCUCAGGUGAAAAUUUUUGCAGUUAAGCCUCUACUGUUUUAAGAAUAUAGGUUUUAUUGGGCUCAAAGUAUAUAACCAUGUAGUUUAAUUGUUUAUUCAUUGUUUAAAAGUUCUGCUUUAGGUUUCAUAUCUUGAAUCACUGAAUCCACAUCCAAUGGAUACUAUUAAUCUCAGUUAUGUAAAUAGGUUGCAUGGAUACAAUUGCAAUUUAAAACACAUAGAAACUUUACAAUGAUUGUCUUCUGGAAAUGAAUCCUGUCUCACCAGUACUUCUCAAAAUCCACUUUGACAACUGCACCAUACCCAAAGAAAGCAAGACGGGUGUGGUUUUACCAUUUUUGUUGCUAGUUGCUAAGGGAAGAUUAAUAAACAGCUAGAUUUAAAAGUUAACACUUCUAAAUAUUUACUAGACAUUCUUCAAGAAGUCUAAAUCAUGUUGUAGUUAUUAAUGUGUUAAUUUUAAAACCUUACAUUUUUUCUAUUUGGCACAGCUCUUCAGAGGCAGUCCCUCCCCAUUCCCUAGAAUAUGCUUUAGGUGUGGGUCCUGUAUUAACAUCUUUCACAGUGAAGACCGAUGCAAAGAUUCCAGGAGGUCCAACAAUAACUCCAAACCCAGCAAUGAAUGAGGCAACUCCCAAGGCACUGUGAAAUCUGGCUGCGCCUACAAGAUCUACCUAUUAAAGGAAGCAGUAUUUAUUAUUCAAUAGACAGCACAGGAAACAGCAGUGCAAGAUAUCCACCACUGAAAAUGGCAAAAGUUACAGAGUAACUCAUAAGUAAUGGGAAGGUGGUAGCCAGAGGACACAGCAAAUUAGUGAGCCCACAAAGAAUGAGACUUGCUGGUAGAUGCUCACACUGGAUGGCUGUGGCCUCGUUUGUCAUGUUUCUUAUUUGAGUGGUAAGUCUUCGAUGCAUUUAUAUUUUCAGUUCUAUCGUUAUCAAGAUUCAACACCAAAUUCCUGGUGACCCUAAUUCCCCCAUGUCUCAAAAAUUGUCCAGUAUGUUGUAUGGAAAAUUCCUGGAUGCUAUAGUAAAGCAUCUUUUCACCAUUGGAAGACUCUUUUUCCCUCACUUUCUUUUUUUUCUUCAGCUCCACCUUCAAUUGACUGAUGCCCAGUAUAUUUAAUUAUAUGACUGUUGAAUACUACAUUUUUUGCUUUAUUUUUGUUAGGCAUAUGGAGCUGAAGUUUUGUUUCUAUCUGAUACAUUCAUAUCUGAGAAUUCUAAACAUUUCUUCUAUGAUUAAACUCUACACUUAUUCACAAGCUCUGGUCAGUAAUUUUAUGGCAAAAUGCUUUGUUAAAUGAAAUUGGAGUUUAUAAUCUGGAGUAAUUUACCCUUAACUUUCUCCAUCCCCCAAAUUGCCCAUUGGUAAGCUCUCUUGCUACAUAAGGAGCUUGAUUUUGCCUCAAGAGAAUCCAUUAUCCAGUUUAAGGUGGAUUUCCCUCUGAUACCUCAGUUUCUUAACCCCUAUUCUGCAUCAGUGUUUUCAAGCAAAAUUUAAAGGGUUGGUUUAAAUUGAAAAUAAAUAACAAAAUCAUUUUAACUAUUGGUUUAUCUCUUAAGAAAAAUAUGUAAUAAAGAUGGAAGCAGUUUUGUACUGAGAUGAUUUUUUUAAUGCUAAUAAAAUUUAAGAACAUAUUUUGUUGUUAUUAAGAUGGCUUUCCAAAACUACAUAAUUAUAGAAGCAUGCCUUUGAAUAAAACGUCUUAAUAGUUACAGCAUAACCACAUUUCAUAAAGCUAUAUAUUAAAUAUUUUUUUCCCAGUG